AUACGGAGGACGCGAGCGUUAUCCGGAUUUAUUGGGUUUAAAGGGAGCGCAGGCGGAGAUGCAAGCGUGACGUCAAAUUUCGGGGCUCAACCCCGUCUCGCGUCGCGAACUGCGUCCCUUGGUUGCGGGAAGGGGAGGCGGAACUCGUGGGGUAGCGGUGAAAUGCAUAGAUAUCACGAAGAACUCCGAUCGCGAAGGCAGCCUUCCGGCCCGUCAACGACGCUCAUGCUCGAAGGUGCGGGUAUCAAACAGGAUUAGAUACCCUGGUAGUCCGCACAGUAAACGAUGGACACCCGCGGUUUGGCCUGUAUGGCUGAGCCGCCAAGCGAAAGCGUUAAGUGUCCCACCUGGGGAGUACGCCGGCAACGGUGAAACUCAAAGGAAUUGACGGGG
rnacentral:rRNA from 1 species